rnacentral:misc_RNA from 1 species
ACCAAACCCAAGCAAAGUGAGCUAACUUUACUAAUGCAAUAAAGCAGUAGAAAAAUAAGAAAACAAACAAAACAAUAAACAAAUACAAUCAAGCAAGGUGAGAGAACUAUUGAAAAAGGCUAUGUGUGCCUUUAGAAUGUGAAGUAUUGUUAAAGGUACAUUUUAAAAGCCAAAUAAUAACCAGCAUAUUCUUUAUAGCAUUCGAAGGUCAUGAGAAGUAAUUUUUCAUUCCAAAUCACAUUUAGUCUACUCUCAUAUGGUUGUGCAGUAUGAUAUUAGGCCCACCCUGGUCAUUUGCUCAUCGGCUUACAGGUACUCAUAUUUAAUUACAGUAGUGGAGCGAAGACAUUUGCUAUAGAAUGUAGAAUAAUGUAGGCUAUGCAUGAAUGAUGUUGUAUAAAUGUAGCUGCAAUAAUCAAUAAUUUGUUAUUCAUAACAGUAAUGAACCGCCAUAACAGUUACGGUCGCUGCUGUUAAUUUUGUGAAUGUACAGGUGUUAAUGGUAGGCCUGCCAAUAACCUUUUUCUUCUAUAAAAUUAACCUGAAAACAAGUAUUUUAACAACACUGAAUUAUUCAUCAUUCAAGAAUGAAGGUUUAUGUAAUUUGUUUGCUGAGUGUGUUUUCUGUGGUUCUGGCUGAGAAUAACUUAGCUGAGAAAAGUACAUACUACUGUCAAAACGAUACGUCUGUCAAUCUUCCUUGUAUUGACGUUGAAAUUACUUCAGAAUCGAAAAAUGUGUACUGGGCUAUUAAAAAUGACACUGGUUUUAAUGUUGUUGCAUCAAAGGUACUGUUGACGGGCGAAAUUGAUGCACCUGACCCAAAAUAUAAAAUGACAAUAAAGAACCUCUCUUUGACUAUAUUUGAUCCAGUUGAAGGUGAAGUGUUUACAUGUUACGUAGAUGGCAAAGUUUCAGGUGGUACCACUCUAGAACUGGUUACAUACAAAGAACCACAUCACAUGGGGGUUUAUGGAUGUGAUACUUACCCAUGUAAGAUUGCUUUUGAUAUUGCAUCUACUGUAGGCUUGACAUGUGGGUCUAGUGGACACCUUCCAAAUGAGAGUGUUCAAGUCACAUGGCCCCAGUUGACCAGCAAAGAACUUAGGGAACUGCAUCAAAGUAAAAGAGUAUAUGAAGUCCAAACAACAGUCAAAGUAGAGACACUCACUCCUGUAUUGUGCAUCAUUGAUGGUGAAUCAUUUUGUGGCAAGUUAAACACAUUUGCUGUUACAAUCUACAAAGUAGACCAUAGUUUCUGGGAAAAUUGUGUCUUUACUUUUGUGACAGCCUUUUUAAUAACAUGUGCAAUAAUAUUUGGAUGCAAGGAAACGAGAAUAGUUAAGAUGUUUGGAAUUACUGAUAUAAAUCAUUAUUUUAUAAUUUUUUUGCUGUGUUUGGGGUUUAUGUAUUUUUCCUCUUGUACUGUAAUAGGGUAUAUUAGAUCUUAUUUAUAGGCCAAGAUACAGUUGACGUACAGUAAUUCAAACUAUUAAAAGUAUAUUAGGCCUAUUAAUGAUAACAUUUUUUUAUUAUUAUCUAAAUUAUAAAUACAACUAGAAGCUUGACUAUAAUUGCUUUAUCAUUUGUUACAUCCAUCACCUUUUCUAUGUAGCCCUCUAAUGAAACUGCUGGUUGUAAGCGGUUGCUAAAUAUUUAUAAAUCAAAAUACUUGUUGGUGGUGGCCGGUUGCUUAGGUGCACGUAUUAAAAUGAUUUGUUAGUAGUACGCGCACUGACACCCAUUACACAGCUCUUUGCAGCUAGCUCUUCGCAAUACACAGAUGAAUAAAUAAAGAGUGUGGUUAAUUAAAUUUAUUAGGGGUUAUUAGGUAGCUCUAACCUCCUGGUUGGCAUUUCUUUAAUAGAUUUAAAUGUAUUGUAAACAAUAUCAUGCAUUAUUUCAGUUGUUGUUAACAACUUAUUUGUUUGUUACUUUGAUUUCUCUGUAUUUGAUUGGUUAACUAAUUAGCAGAUUUAUUAGGUUGUGUUAUUAUUAAAUGUAUUAUACAAUACUUAAUACAACAAACUGAUUUAUUGGGUUGUAUUUAUCCAAGUGUCAUAUAGUACUGUACAUUAGAUUAAAUAAAUACAGCCUGAUCAUUUUUAGAUUGUAUUUACUUAAAUAAAUACAACCUAACAGUUAACCAGGUUAAUACAACCUAACCUGGUUGUAUUUAUUUAACUAAAUUUACUGUUAUAUUUAAAGAAAUACAACAGAAAUGAUUAUGCUCUAUGGUAAAUUUAGUAAAAUAAAAUACAACCUGAUAAAUUGUAGGACAAAAACCACCCAGGAAAAUAACCACCUGGACAAAAACCACUCAAAAUGGACUAUACCAUUAUAAAAGUGGGUGGACCAUUUAUAAUUGAAAGUAAUUUUUAAAAGAAGUAGGGACAAGCACUUUUAGAAAUUAAAACUGUAUUCAAUUAACAAAUUUGUUUUAAUGAAAAUAUGUACUAUAAAUGUUAAGUAAUUGCUUAUUAACCUACAUGCAUGUUGUCAAAAGAGUUGAAUGAACUAAAGGCAUAUAAGUCACAAUGUAAACUACAGUAUCCUAUUGUAAAGCUAGAUACACUUGUAAAAGUCCCUUGUGUCCUUGGGCAAGGCACUUUAUCUAUGGUUGUCUCUCUCAACCCAGAAGUUCAAGUGGGUACGGUACCUGGUCUGAGUUGUGUUCCAUAUGUGCUUGAUCCUGGGACCAGGGGUAAUAAUGUAAACGCAUAGAGGUCUCCACAAUAUGCGCUAUAUAAGUCAACAAUUAUUAUAUAUUAAAAAAAUCCCACCCAACAUUGUUCACCCCACAGCCCACCCCGCUUUAACAAUGGUGUAGUCCAUUUUGGGUGGUUUAUGUCCAGGUGGUUAUUGUCCUGGGUGGUUUUUGUCUGAUUUCCAAUAAAUUUGGAUUUAUUGGAAAUAUAGUCAUGAUGUGCCUAUAGUCAACUUUCCAUCAUGAUUGCUUUUGAAAAAAAUGUUAAAAAUUCAAAAAAAAAAAAAGAGUUUUUAAAAUGAAUUAAAAAAUUGAUGCCGGUGACUGUCGGGUACAUGUUGUGAAGUGAAUCUGCCUCAGCGAGAUAUCCUGAUUGAAAGAGUUAGUAAGCUAAGUAGAAGAUAAGUUUCGAUUUAAAUUCUAUGUACCAGUAUCAAUGGCCACACAUUUCUAAACAACAAUCUCAAAACACCACCUACGC